rnacentral:rRNA from 1 species
AUUGAACGCUGGCGGCAUGCCUUACACAUGCAAGUCGAACGGCAGCACGGGGCAACCUGGUGGCGAGUGGCGAACGGGUGAGUAAUGCAUCGGAACGUACCUUUCAGUGGGGGAUGACGUAGCGAAAGUUACGCUAAUACCGCAUAUUCUGUGAGCAGGAAAGCAGGGGAUCGCAAGACCUUGCGCUGAUUGAGCGGCCGAUGUCAGAUUAGCUAGUUGGUGAGGUAAAGGCUCACCAAGGCGACGAUCUGUAGCGGGUCUGAGAGGAUGAUCCGCCACACUGGAACUGAGACACGGUCCAGACUCCUACGGGAGGCAGCAGUGGGGAAUUUUGGACAAUGGGGGCAACCCUGAUCCAGCCAUGCCGCGUGAGUGAAGAAGGCCUUCGGGUCGUAAAGCUCUUUCGGCCGGGAAGAAAUCGCACGGGCUAAUACCCUGUGUGGAUGACGGUACCGGAAUAAGAAGCACCGGCUAACUACGUGCCAGCAGCCGCCGUAAGAC